GCCUUGUUGGCGCAGUAGGCAGUGCGUCAGUCUCAUAAUCUGAAGGUCGUGAGUUCGAGCCUUCCACGGGGCA
rfam:Danio rerio unplaced genomic contig NA687, GRCz11 reference primary assembly.